CAGGGCGAAUGUCUUGUAAUUGGAAUGAUGGUGACCCAAACCCUCACCAGAGUAGCAAUUGGAGGGCAAGUCUGGUGCCAGCAGCCGCGGUAAUUCCAGCUCCAAUAGCGUAUAUUAAACUUGUUGCAGUUAAAAAGCUCGUAGUUGUAUUUUUGCGUUGACGGUUUGACCAUUUGGUUGGUUAUUUCGUUUUCGCUUUUGGGAAUUUCCCUUUUUACUUUGAGAAAAUCAGAGUGUUUCAAGCAGACUUUUGUCUUGAAUACUUCAGCAUGGAAUAAUAGAGUAGGACUUUGGUUCUAUUUUGUUGGUUAUUGAACCUUAGUAAUGGUUAAUAGGAACGGUUGGGGGCAUUCGUAUUUAACUGUCAGAGGUGAAAUUC
rnacentral:rRNA from 1 species